AUAGUGAACCAGUACCGUGAGGGAAAGGCGAAAAGAACCCCAGUAAGGGGAGUGAAAAAGAAUCUGAAACCGUGUGCGUACAAGCAGUGGGAGCCCGAAAGGGUGACUGCGUACCUUUUGUAUAAUGGGUCAGCGAGUUAUCUGUAUUAGCGAGGUUAACUUUGAUGAGGGAGCCGUAGGGAAACCGAGUCUUAAUAGGGCGAGAAGUUGAUGCAGGUAGACCCGAAACCGAGUGAUCUAGUCCUGGACAGGCUGAAAGCAGGGUAACACCUGCCGGAGGGCCGAACCUACUGUCGUUGCAAAGCCAGAGGAUGAUCUGGGACUAGGGGUGAAAGGCCAAUCAAACCCGGUGAUAGCUGGUUCUCCCCGAAAGCUAUUUAGGUAGCGUCCUGCAGGGGCGUAUGGGGGUAGAGCACUGUUAUAGGAAGGGGUUCAUUGCGAACUACCGACCUAUUGCAAACUACGAAUACCAUACAGUUGUAAGCAGGGGACACACAGUGGGUGCUAACGUUCAUUGUGAAGAGGGAAACAACCCGGACCGCCAGCUAAGGUCCCAAAGUUCUGAUUAAGUGGGAAACGAUGUGGGAAGGCAUAGACAGCCAGGAUGUUGGCUUAGAAGCAGCCAUCAUUUAAAGAAAGCGUAAUAGCUCACUGGUCGAGUCGGCCUGCGCGGAAGAUGUAACGGGGCUCAAAUCAGACACCGAAGCUGCGGAUUUGUACUUAGGUACAAGUGGUAGGGGAGCGUUGUGUAAGCCUGAGAAGAUGUACUGGAAGGUAUGUUGGAGGUAUCACAAGUGCGAAUGCUGACGCAAGUAACGAUAAAACGAGUUAAAUGCUCGUUCGCCGGAAGACCAAGGUUUCCUGUCCAACGUUAAACGGGGCAGGGUUAGUCGGAACCUAAGGCGAGGAUGAAAAUCGUAGUCGAAGGGAAACGGGUUAAUAUUCCCGUACUUGGAUAUGUUGCGAUGAGGUGACGGAGGAGGUAAGGUUAGCCAGCCGAUGGUUGUGCUGGUGAAAGGCAGUAGGUAGUAAGAAGGGUUAAAAGACUUUUUACGAUAAUCUGAGAGCCGAGACGAAUUAACUACGGUUAAGAAGUAACCCUAUCCAGACUUCCAGGAAAAGCCUCUAAGCUUCAGACAUAUACAAUCCGUACCCCAAACCGACACAGGUGGUCGGGUAGAAGAUACCAAGGCGCUUGGGAGAACCCGGGUGAAGGAACUAGGCAAAAUUGUACCGUAACUUCGGGAGAAGGUACGCUGUGGUUUGUAAUAAGAUUAACUCUUAGAGCGAGCUGCAGCCGCAGAUAAAUGGUGGCUGGGACUGUUUAACAAAAACAUAGCACUCUGCAAACCUGAAAGGGGAAGUAUAGGGUGUGACACCUGCCCGGUGCCGGAAGGUUAAAUGAUGAGGUUAGAGCAAUCGAAGCCUCUGAGUGAAGCCCCGGUAAACGGCGGCCGUAACUAUAACGGUCCUAAGGUAGCGAAAUUCCUUGUCGGGCAAGUUCCGACCUGCACGAAUGGUGUAACCAUGGCCACGCUGUCUCCACCCGGGACCCAGUGAAACCGAAAUCGCUGUGAAGAUGCAGUGUACCCGCGGCUAGACGGAAAGACCCCGUGAACCUUUACUGCAGCUUGACACUGAACCUUGAACCUGUUUGUGCAGGAUAGGCGGGAGACUUUGAAGUAGAGACGCCAGUCUUUAUGGAGUCGACCUUGAAAUACCGCCCUGAUAUGUUUGAGGUUCUAACUUGAAGGUAACAGCCUUAAGGACAGUGUCUGGUGGGAAGUUUGACUGGGGCGGUCUCCUCCCAAAGAGUAACGGAGGAGCACGAAGGUCGGCUGAUCACGGUCGGAAACCGUGAGGUCAGUGCAAUGGCAAAAGCCGGCUUGACUGCGAGAGCAACAACUCGAGCAGGUGCGAAAGCAGGUCAUAGUGAUCCGGUGGUUCC
rnacentral:rRNA from 1 species